rnacentral:sRNA from 2 species
UUAAAUGUUUUCUAGGGUUCCGCAACUACCUGUUGGUCUGGUCCGAGAGAAAACUCACAGCUUGCUGUGUCACGGAGGGAUAAAAGCCUGGGAGAA